rnacentral:rRNA from 1 species
AAUAGAUACCCCGGUAGUCCACGCCGUAAACGGUGGGCACUAGGUGUGGGCAGCAUUCCACGUUGUCCGUGCCGUAGCUAACGCAUUAAGUGCCCCGCCUGGGGAGUACGGCCGCAAGGCUAAAAACUCAAAGGAAUUGACGGGGGCCCGCACAAGCGGCGGAGCAUGUGGCUUAAUUCGACGCAACGCGAAGAACCUUACCAAGGCUUGACAUACACCGGAAACAUCCAGAGAUGGGUGCCCCCUUGUGGUCGGUGUACAGGUGGUGCAUGGCUGUCGUCAGCUCGUGUCGUGAGAUGUUGGGUUAAGUCCCGCAACGAGCGCAACCCUUGUCCCGUGUUGCCAGCAGGCCCUUGUGGUGCUGGGGACUCACGGGAGACCGCCGGGGUCAACUCGGAGGAAGGUGGGGACGACGUCAAGUCAUCAUGCCCCUUAUGUCUUGGGCUGCACACGUGCUACAAUGGCCGGUACAAAGAGCUGCGAUACCGUGAGGUGGAGCGAAUCUCAAAAAGCCGGUCUCAGUUCGGAUUGGGGU